CUCUCCCGGGUCAAUCUGGAUCCCCAUUGCGCAAGGUCUUUCGCUGCCAUGUCUGCUUCUUCUUCCUCCGCUGCCGGGCACCGAGCUGACCCCAUGCGGGAAAAAGCCAGGUGAUCGGUACUACUGGUGCAUCCUUUGGAGUUCUCGUCAGUGUGGGCUUUCCGAGUGGCAAGAGAUUUAUCCUGCUAUGCUGGAUUCCGUUAGAUCUUGGUCUUUGCCGCGCCCACCAUCCCCAGCUUCUCCUGGGCUGCUAGCCUGCAACACCGGAGCUCGCGUCAGGAAGGAGUCCCAGAGUUCAUCGGUUGUUCUGUUUCGAAUGGAUGCCAGCAUGUCACCCCGGCCAAGGCCAGCACCAUUGUUGAUUUCUCCAGGAUUGCGCUGCUCAUGCUCGCCACUAUCUUGAUGCUCUUUGUGUUCUUGCUUGGCAUGUCUGUCCGGACACUGGCAGUCGUGUAUUUCAAGUGAGAGGCGCCAUUGGUGUCAUGCUUUUGGGUCGAAAGUCGAGUUGGUAGUACCGCUAAUGUUUGUUGUGUGUGUGUUUAGUUACUAGUCUCAAUUAGAUUCAGAUCCGUCAGACCAGACAUGUGGUACUGCAAAUGUCUUGGUUUGAAUAUGUGUUAACUGGUGUUGGCCUGAAAAUGUACCCUGUUGUUAUGCGCAAAUCAGCUUAAAAUGUGUAUCCAUGUGUUAUGUAAUCGCCGUGAUUUAUUUUUUACUUUUCAAUGA